UCACUCUUCACUGAAGAAAAAUGUGC
rnacentral:piRNA from 1 species